CAGAGUGACACAAUGAGACAGAUCGAGUGGCAUUCGAUAAUGUAAAGUAAAAUGACACUAGAGUUAGUGUGAAGUAAAGAAUCAAUGUGAUGUAAAGACUAAUAACAAUGACUAAAGUUAAUGUAAAGUGGGGCAUAAAGAACAUGCAAAGAGUAAAGUACAUGAUUGCUAGAGAUAGCCAAAAGUAAAGGAAUGUAAAGAAUCAUGAUUGCUAGAAUAGCAACAUAAAGUGAUGAAAAUAACACUAGAGUUAGUGUAAUGACAUGAUUGAACUUAUAAUCCUUAGAGUU
rnacentral:lncRNA from 1 species